AUGAACACCUACUUUGUUUGAUAUCCUGCCAACUAUCUAUGAUUUCACACUGCUUUGUCUUUGUUAAUAUAACGCCUCCUGUUAUUUCCUUCUCCAGAGAUUUAUGCUACUUAACUGUUCUGUUUGUUUAUAAAUUAUUUUUUUUAAUGUUUGAAGCACCGAUCGUGUGCUCGUGUGAUCUGCACUGUAUAAGAAGUUAUCAUCGUCGUCGUCUUCUUCUAGUAAGAGGAUCUGUUGUUGCGCCAGAUGACUGUUAUACCCUGUGCACAUUGUGUGCAUUGUAUGCACGAACAAAGACGGUCAGGGGUGGAUGAGCUGCAGCUGCAGAAGUGUGUGUCACGAGACUGCGCAUUCGAUCUGCAGCGACUGGGUUCCAAUGUCACCAUGGUCUGCACAGCGCAACGCAGCGCUGCAGCACUUGGGUCACAAGUGACGACGAUGGUGUAUAUAACACAACAAGCUCCAGCACUUGCCUGUGACUUCAGCAUACAAUGGUAAGUACAGUAGCAGGAGACACAAGCCAUUGGUAGCUUGGCGUGGGACACAAAAGAUCCCGCUCUGCUUCUUGAAAGUACUGCACUGUUCCCUUCAAGUGCCGGACUGUCUCCUACAAGUACUUCCCCGUUCCCUGCAAAUUCCAUGAUGUCCCCUUCAAGUGUUGCACUGACACGCAGGAAGGUUCUUUUUUCUGUACGCCCCCACUGCUUUUUCUCCAUCACGGUGAAUAGGACAAGUGCUUGAGUUUCCUGCAAACACAAAUGUGACCCGUACUCCUACAAGUGCUGCUGUAAUCCUGCUAACACCCAUGUGAUCCUGUGAUCCUUGUGAACACUGCAGUGAUCUGACUGGUCUUGUGUCACAAGCGCAGCGUGCAGUGUAUACUAACUCUAGCGACGCUCGGGUCUGAGCAAACACUGCUGUUCCCUGACAAAAGUGGUUUCAGCCCUCAGUCCCAGCGUACUGCAGCAUGGACUGCAUUGGGAUGGAUACUUAAAUCUUCAUCUCCUUCCCUUACACUCGGGUUCUGUUCUGUUUAUGAGAAGAGCAGCAGGCAAGUUAAUCUCUGCCAAAUUUAGGAUGCUGAAUUGUUACCAGAUGAUUCGGCGAUCCGGUCUCUAUGAAGAUCCGUGUGUCGCAGAGCAUGAACAAGUGCUCUAGUGCUUACACAAGCACUGGGCCUAGUGCAGAUGCUGGUAGGGUUGAUGGGAUACAAUGUAGUCUUCACUUGCGACCUCAUUCUUCUGCACUCACCUAGGGAGGGUUUCAUUUUCACUGUAUUACUAGCAAGUAAAUUUCAGCAGCUGUGUGCCUAAAGUUUAAAUGUGUGGGUGAUCUGUGGUAUUAUUACCCCCCCCACACACACACUCACUGCACACUUAUUUAAACAGCUACAAUUCAUUUUUUCAUUACUGUCAUCUUUGUGUCCAUAGAUAUUUUCCUCUUUUAAUACCUGACUUUCGCUAGUCUUGUUGCUACAGGGUGGGGUAUACUGGUGAUGCACAUGUGAUGUCACACCACUCUAUUACCUUGUAAAAAAACUGGAAAAAACCCACAAUGGAGAACUAUUGGAACUAUUUUAAAGUUCAAACAGUUCCUUGUGGUGGCAGAUAUGACUAAAGAUAGUUUUUGUUGUUUAAAGCACUAGUAACUAUACAGUACACACACUUUAUGUAAUUACUUUCCUCGAUUCCAAAAAUAUUUAUUAGCUGCAAAAUUUAGUUGUAAGCUUGCUAAAUAACAAAGGACAGUAUGUCAAUGCACCAAUAAAUUAGAUUUACAUUCUAAGAAAAGAAUUUUAAUCAGAUUACAAGAAUUAAGUUAGUGUAAGGUUUCCUGUGUCAAUAUGCUGCCCAAGAUAAAUAUAAUCUGCUGGAAGUGUGAUGCAUAUCAGCUCUUCUGGUUUUUCCACUCCAUGAACACCCACAGAAACAUAUUCCACUCUUUUCUUUUAACAAAAAUAAACCUUACAAAUUAAAGCUAAUGUGCUGUUUAUUUUUAUUUUCAGGGAUCUAUGUUUGUCUUUUAUAAACCAGCACUGAUUAUGAGAAUGAUACAUGAAAAGGCUUCUGUCAGCUAAAAUCCACAGAAAAGAAAAAAAUCAUUUAACUUUUACUACUGCAUGGAUUUACAGGAAAGAACUUAAACUGCAGAAUUCUUUUUUGGGGGAGUAAUUCAUACAACAGCAACAUCACCUGGCUGCUUAUAUACCACAAAAACAAAAUACUCCAUCUUACAUUUGUGUGCGUUGCAAUAACUGCUGUAUCUUGUAUAUGCUUGCCUACUGAUUAGUGCCUACUCCAUAAAUUUUCAUACUAUAGCUUUGGUUUCUUUCACCUGACAAAAUAUUUUCAUUCAAUCAUAUUUCAAGCAAAUGAUAGAUUGUUUAUGGGACACAACUUUUUUAAAAUGUAAAAAAUUUCAAUUGCAGCAAAAAUACGACACAAAUCUGUCACAUAAACAGAACACAAAAUGGGAACCUUCUAGUGGCAUAGGAAGUAGGGGGGCAAAAAGGGUGGCUGCCAGCUCAAAAAAAA